rnacentral:rRNA from 1 species
AUGUGCUUUAUUCGAAGGUUCUUGGAAGAGUUGGAAAUUGCUGCAGUUCGAACACCUCAAGUUCAGUUCGGACGAACUGUGAGACCAUGGGCUAAUACGUGGCUGCCACCCACGAGCGAUGCUGCAAAGAUAAACUGUGACGGUGGUUUGUCUACACUGGGAGAAAGGGGAGCAGUGGGAGCAAUAUGCAGAAAUAAAUCUGGAAUUUUUUUGGGUGCGUUGGCAGUGGUUUUCGAUGGCCCGACUGACCCAGCAAGCCUGGAGGCGCAAGCUUGCAGCGAGGCGCUAGCCCUUGCGCGAGAUUUACUUUUGCAGGACCUAGUGAUUGCUUCAAAUUGCUUAGAAGUUAUCUCAAACAUAAAAAAUGAAGGGUCGCCAGCUUAUGCGUCUAUCCUAAGGGAGAUUCAAACUAGUAUAAAUAGCUUUUCUUCUGUUGAUUUUCGUUUCGAACGUAGGGGGAAUAAUUUCGAGGCCCACUCACUAGCAAAAAGAGUUGCGUCUCUGGCGGUGGGUCACCAUGUGUGGCUAGGGGUUUUACCAGAGAUUGCAUGUAUUCCUGAUACUCUGAACUUUGAAUAA